GCCAGACUCCUACGGGAGGCAGCAGUGAGGAAUAUUGGUCAAUGGCCGUAAGGCUGAACCAGCCAAGUAGCGUGAGGGAAGACUGCCCUAUGGGUUGUAAACCUCUUUUAUGCGGGGAUAAAGGUGUCCACGUGUGGAUGUUUGCAGGUACCGCAUGAAUAAGGACCGGCUAAUUCCGUGCCAGCAGCCGCGGUAAUACGGAAGGUCCGGGCGUUAUCCGGAUUUAUUGGGUUUAAAGGGUGCGCAGGCGGGAGAUCAAGUCAGCGGUAAAAUGUCGGGGCUCAACCCCGGCCGGCCGUUGAAACUGGUUUUCUAGAGUUGGAGAGAAGUAUGCGGAAUUCGUGGUGUAGCGGUGAAAUGCAUAGAUAUCACGAAGAACUCCGAUUGCGAAGGCAGCAUACCGGCUCCAUACUGACGCUGAGGCACGAAAGCGUGGGGAUCGAACAGGAUUAGAUACCCCGGUA
rnacentral:rRNA from 1 species